AGUUUCCUUAUAGUACUAUAAUCUUUUUAUUUAAAUUAUAUAUUUUAAAUAAAAUUUUUUAAUUUAUUUAAAAUGUCAAAUGAUUUAAAAAAUUAUUAUUUUAUCAUUUUUUCUUUUAAAUUCAUACUUUAAACACACUACAAAAUUCCUGCACAAUGCAUGGGCUUUGGACUAGUUCUAAUCAACUGGGAAGUGGUGAACAAAUUCAAAGGGUGCUAAAUGAAUUAGCUGGUAAUGCUUCUAUCCAGAGUAUUCUUCUUUAUUCAUUUUCUUUAAUGCAUUUAAAAAGUUUGACGUUGAUUCCAUUCGCAGAAGUUAAUAGUGCAGAUAUUGAGAAACCAAGGCAUGAUGAUAAGGGAGCAGUUACUUGUAACUCCAUCUUCUUAUAUGCUAAGUGUUGCAAGAAAUUGGUGGAUGUUAUAAGAAUUUAGAAUUUCCCAACUCCUGGAGAAGUGAGGACAAUGAUCCAGGUUCUUUUGUGUUUGCCUUAUGUGUCUAGAAACAUCCAACAUCUCGCCUCCCUUGAAAGUUGAGCAACAAUUGGUUCUAUGACCUAGCAUGAUGGAAUGAUGAAGGCGACUUGUGAUGGCAAGCCCUUAAAGGCCAUACCGGAGAUUACUUUCCAGUACUCAAAAUGAUCAGAUGCCUUCAUGAUGGAAUGCUUUUGCCCAACUUGAGGUAAUGGGACAUCAUUUAUUACUAAGAAGUUAGGCAUGUUCAUAUCCUUCAAAUUCAAUAGAGUUUAGAAGGUUAUUUUUUUACACCAUGUAUAAUAUAUAUGUUCUGCAAUUCUGUUAACUGCCCUGCAUAUGAUAUCACUUAACAAGUACAUAAAACUAUUCAAGUCCUUUUUUUUUUCCCCUUAUUCUCUUUAGUAAUGAUGUCAUUAAAUCUUGAAUUAUGCUAAAAGGUUUAUGCAUUUGGUUGUCUUUUCAAUCACUUGUGUACUGAAUCUACACUACUUGCUGCCUUUGCUUUGGAGUGAAAUACUGGUGAAGAAUCAAAUUUCGCUGUUGAGUUUUCUUCUCAAUCAAUAGAGGCUUUGAUCUGUAAAUAUUUUCUUUUAAUCCUCACAGAGAGGAUAUAUGUAUGGUUGUGUAUUUAAUUAUGUUUGAUGGGCAAGGAGCUUAAUAGGUUUUAUGGUUUCUUUUAGCUGUAAAAUUUAGGGGAAAUUCUAUAGGUUAGGGACGGGCGUGUCACAAGCUAUUCUGCAAGAUGUUUUAUGCAGGUUUCUGUGGGCAGAGUGGACUUGUUAUCCCUAUGGAUGAGCUUUUGCCAGAAUGCUAACCCUAUAUGUUCACUGGACAUGGGAUACUCCCGAAGUUUCUUGGACCAACAAUACGAGUUAUUUGAGAAUGUUUUCCUCAACUGUCUGCUCAAUUCCACAUUCAACCACCCUUCUGCCUAUGAGAGAUUUACAUGGAUGGAAAAUUUCUAAUCAAAGUUUCUUGUUGUCUCAAAGACCUGUAGAGGAGCCUCUCAAAUUGCAGGCAUUUCUCAUCAAGCAAAUCUAAUUUAACAAAAUGAUCCACACCCCUCAAAUGUCAACACUUCAUUAGUUGUCCCACCAAGUGGAUGCUCUUGUUGACGGCAGAUCCACAACCAGUUCCCAAUCUUUAAGUUUAUCAAGAUUUUUGUGUUGUAAUUAUAACUAUUUGAUUAUGUAAUGUUUUUCAGGCAGUUGUUGAGAUUGUAGCCAUAGAUAUUAUCCCUUCACAUGUUUUCUAUAAUAAUCAAACAGAAUUAAGCUUCAA